UGGGGAAUCUUGCGCAAUGGGCGAAAGCCUGACGCAGCGACGCCGCGUGAGGGAGGAAGGCCUUCGGGUUGUAAACCUCUUUCAGGAGGGACGAAGCUACUCGGGUGAAUAGCCCAGAGGGUGACGGUACCUCCAGAAGAAGCCCCGGCUAACUACGUGCCAGCAGCCGCGGUAAUACGUAGGGGGCAAGCGUUGUCCGGAUUUACUGGGCGUAAAGCGCGUGUAGGCGGCCACGCAGGUCCGUUGUGAAAACUGGAGGCUCAACCUCCAGACGUCGACGGAAACCGUGUGGCUAGAGUCCGGAAGAGGAGAGUGGAAUUCCUGGUGUAGCGGUGAAAUGCGCAGAUAUCAGGAAGAACACCAAUGGCGAAGGCAGCUCUCUGGGACGGUACUGACGCUGAGACGCGAAAGCGUGGGGAGCGAACAGGAUUAGAUACCCUGGUAGUCCACGCCGUAAAACGAUGGGUGCUAGGUGUGGGAGGUGUCGACUCCUUCCGUGCCGUAGCUAACG
rnacentral:rRNA from 1 species